GCAGGCGUAGUUUAGUGGUAGAACUAGUGCUUCCCAAGCACCAAGUGCGGGUUCGAUUCCCGUCGCUUGCU
rnacentral:tRNA from 1 species